rnacentral:misc_RNA from 1 species
GAGAAUACUAGAACUGUAGCUAGGAAUCUUGGCUGCAGAAAAAACAAUGACAAUAACAAGCCUGCAAAUCCAAACAAGCCUGCAAUUCCAGUGGAUGUUCUGAUUCCAGAGCUUAUUCAGUCAAGUGAAAAGGUUCUAGUUUUAGAGUAUAUGGAUGGGAUUCGUUUGAAUGACCAUGAAUCUCUUGAAGCUUAUGGUGUUGACAAGCAAGCAGUUGUUGAAGAAAUAACACGUGCAUAUGCCCAUCAAAUAUAUAUUGAUGGAUUUUUUAAUGGUGACCCACAUCCUGGAAAUUUCCUGGUGAGCAAGGAACCUCCACAUCUUCCAGUUUUGCUUGACUUUGGGCUUACAAAGAAAAUAUCGAGUUCGAUGAAACAAGCAUUAGCCAAAAUGUUUCUUGCAUCUGUUGAGGGGGACCAUGUAGCCCUUUUGUCUGCAUUUGCAGAAAUGGGGCUUAAGCUGCGUCUGGACAUUCCAGAUCAGGCUAUGGAGGUAACAAAUGUAUUUUUUCGUACUUCAACGCCAGCUAAUGAGGCUUUUGAAAACAUGAAAUCCUUGGCUGAGCAAAGAUCAAAAAACAUGAAGAUUAUACAGGAAAAGAUGAAGCUCAAACAAAAAGAAUUUAAACACUUUAAUCCAGUUGAUGCAUUUCCCGGAGAUAUUGUAAUAUUCUCACGGGUCCUCAAUCUUCUGAGAGGGCUUUCAUCCACAAUGAAUGUUCGCAUAGUAUAUCAAGAUAUCAUGAGACCAUUUGCAGAAUCUGCUCUAAUAGGAAACAUCAAUAAGGGACCAGCAGUUAAUGCACAAUGGAUCUACAAUACACCAUCUCAUUCUGACGUGGAGACAAAGUUGAGGCAGCUCUUAGUUGAUUUGGGAAAUGAAGAAAAAAUACUUGGAAUCCAGGUAUGUGCCUACAAAGAUGGAGAGGUUAUUAUUGAUACUGCCGCGGGAAUGCUUGGUAGAUAUGAUCCUCGCCCAGUUCAGCCUGAUAGUCUUUUUCCAGUUUUUUCUGUAACAAAGGGAAUCACAGCGGGAAUGUUACAUUGGCUCAUUGACAAUGGAAAAGUCAAGCUCGAUGAAAAUGUUGCUAAUGUGUGGCCGGAAUUUGGAACAAAUGGAAAAGAUCAAAUCAAGGUCUGUCAUAUUCUAAACCAUACAUCUGGUUUGCACAAUGCCUUGGCUAAUCUUAGAGGAGAAAAUCCUUUGCUAAUGUGUGACUGGGAAGAAUGUAUGGAUCAGAUUUGUAUGUCAGUUCCUGAGACAGCACCUGGCCAGGAGCAAUUGUAUCACUAUUUUUCUUUUGGUUGGCUAUGUGGUGGAAUAAUUGAGCAUGCCUCUGGCAAGAAAUUUCAGCAGAUUCUUGAAGAAGCAAUCAUUCAGCCUCUCAAUAUUGAAGGAGAGCUAUAUGUUGGAAUUCCUCCAGGUGUGGAAUCUCGACUUGCAAAUUUGACAAUAGAUUUGAAUGAUCUGAGCAAUCUUUUGGAGAUGAGUAAUCGUCCUGACCUACCAUCCACCUUCCAGCCAAGCAGCAUUGCUCAAUUAGUAACUACCUUGCCUGCUUUAUUCAACAUGCUGAAUGUUCGCCGUGCAAUCAUACCUUCUGCUAAUGGACAUUGCUCAGCAUCUUGCACGUUAUUAUGCAGCCCUUGUUGAUGGAGGCAUGAUCCCACCGUCACAUUCCUCUCUCUCCAAUCCUCCACUUGGUAGCCACCCCCACAUUCCCAAG